CAACCCAUCUGCUUCUAAUUAAGCAGACUAAUUGAAUCGAGGCUUUCCCUGGCACACAAACACUCACCCACUGAGAUUACUUUUACAUGUCACUGGAUGUUUAAUGCGUAAAAACAAUUACAUUAGCAAAGACAAAUUUGCAUGUUCAAUCCUAAUUAUUAGCAGAAUUGUUCAUGUGCAUCAACUCAAAAUCCUCUAAAGGAUUUGCUUUGCAGUGACUUGUAAGUAUAUAGCAUAGUACAUACAUACAAGUUAUUGGAUUCUUCAUCAAUUACAGUCGACCGUGACAUUUUCUACUAUACAAUAACCCACUAAACCAUAAAGCUACUUCUUAAAUGUGCAGAAACAAUCUGGAAAAAGCAUCUGUUGAUGCAGUUUGUUAUAGGACUAUGUGCCUUUAACAGUCCUCCACAUAGUGAACAUAUAAUACAUGAUGGCUACAACCACACACAUACUCACAAGUAAUGCCGCUGAGUACACCAAAGUGUGGUGUACUAUUUUUUUUUCUUCUAUCAAUCUGCAGGCUGUGUGUCUAUCUACCUCCUCACCUAACACACCCAACAAACGGUAAUCCUGUCAAAGACGACACAUCUAAGCGCCAUGAAAUAGCAUUCAAACCGCGUUUUCAAAUACAAUACCUUUCGGUAAUGAAACGUAUUGUCUCUCUCCUCCUCCUCCUCCUCUCUCCGAUGGUCUUUCUAGACCUUUCACUCGGUCAUGCUCUCUCUCUCUAUUGACUUCUCCCUCUGCUCCUUAUGUUUUUUCUUCCCAUCACUCUUUCCCCGCCUGAGCCCGCAGGAGAUAGACAUCCGCCAACUCCAUCCCCACUCUCCAACUUCACCGAUCUCCUCUGGCCUACAUCUCUGCAUCCAAGUCCCACUCUGCCUCCACACAGCAUCUCUCCACCCUCCUCUUUCUCCAAUUCAACAUCAGCAUGGCUUAAAAACAGUAAAAUGUUUGGUACAAGAGGAGAAUGUUCCCUAUCAUUACUAUUACUGUACGUAUUACUCUGUUUUACAAACCGCGCUCCCGGUCUCUCUCUGUCUCUAUUUGCGUCAGCCCUCUCAGGAGUAAUGGAUGACCAUGUUACGGUGGUGUCAGGGUCUCUAACACUCCGUCGCUCCACUCUCCCACAUCAGCGUGGUUACAGGGAGCCAUAUUUGGCAGUCUUUCUCCAAACUAAUAGAUGGCCAUGGUGGGGUGAAUGUGUUAGGAGAGGCUUUAUCGUUGGCUGCAUUAAACUAUAACGUUGGUACUCUGAAGGACAGUACUAUAACUGCUGAUGUCUUACUUUCCCUCACUCUGAUUCUCCCUGGGAGCUGGAUUUACUGUGUUGUUGCAUUAAAGAUUUAGUCUGAAUGUCUCUCGAUAAUGGGAAAAGGUAAUAACUUACUUAUUUGUGAGUAAUUGAAUCACUCUACUAAUGAACAUUGUUGCGGAUAAAGCAUUACUAAGUGACGUGUUAGAUUACUCAGAUUUAUUUUUCGUUGCAAUGAGUAACCUAACAAUUUGCAAUUCAAGUAAUCGCUCAUUUGGAUCGGUUUCAAACAUGCAGCGAAAUGCUAAUUGUGUCUGGUGGAGCAUCUGUCAGCUGCAAAGACGUCAACUUCAAGCUCAAAAGACACCCACGUGCACGCCGCUCCACAACGCUGGGUGGUGGCAAGGCACAGCGUGAGGACGCAGAUGAUGCUGCAGCUCCAAACUCCGAGGGAGUUGAUUGAGCUUGUGGCUGGUUAUGUGGUGGAGGAGAUGCUAAUCAAAAAUGAAUAAAGACAUACAUACAUGAAAUCUAUUUGAUGCAUAACAUUGAAGGAAUGGUCACACAUGCACAGCCAUCUGGACAAUGUAACAAGCAUGUGCAAAGGAUUACAAAGACAUUUUCAAUGUCAGUAACUGACAAACUAGGCAGUGAAGAAGUGAAGUUUUUAGGGGAAGCUAGCUGAUUCCUUUUCCCCUUAUUAACAGGAUGGCCUCCAUCAAUGUCUUGACAUUCACACUGCAGCCUCCAUUGACGUCUCACCAGACAAUUCUGCACUGUGGAUCACAUGAAUUCUGGCAGCACUGCGGUUGGACAAAGCAUUAAUGAGUUUCUGCUCUGCACUGUCCGCAUACAUUACAACAACAUACAUUAUUAAGGCUAUUGAAGCAACAACAAAUCAUAGCACUGAGCUCAUGAAGAUCAAACCAAAACCAUGUAAAGUUAGCUACACUUUUUAUAGAUUGGAGGUGUGUGAUGCUAUUUUAGGUUGUUUCUCUUUCCCACAAUUGUCCUUCUAUUUGGUCCCAAUUUGUUUUUUAACUCUGCUGGAGAGGGUAGGGUGAAGUGGAAAGUCAAUCCAAUAUAUAUUUUUUUUAUUUCUUCAUGCAUGGUGCUGCAGACAUGGAAGCUGGGUGGAUCGCGUCUCAGUCGUCAGUUAGCUGCAGGUGUUCUUUAUUUAACUGAUAUGGGAUACAGAGAACUGUGCCGGGUUAAGACGUCAAUGUGGUAAAAUAAACAAUCAGACUGUACCAUCCAUCAGCAUUUUCCCAGAAAAGGAACUUGUCAGUGAAACAUGCUUUGUAUCAAACAAGUGGCAUUUGUUUGGAUGGUGUUUUUUUCGUUGUAUUUGCCAGUGAAAGAAGGAUUGAACACCUGAGUUCUUGUUAAACUCAGAUGAACUUGAGUGUUGCCACGGUGGAAUGAUUUAUGCCAGUGGUCGAUCUAAAUCACAAAAUAAAACGAUUUAUUUUCUUUACAGUUUACAGAGAUCCUUUUGUGAGAAACACCUUGGGCUGAUGGCCAUCUCGAUACUUUCAUUUAACCCUUACUGGGUGAUUUGUCUGUAUUAACAAGCAGAACUCGAUGCUACAAUAGCAAAUGGGGGUGUGUUGUGACAUGGCUAAACACAUCUCUAUAGAACAUAAUGUGUCCAGUUAAGGAACCGGCUUCUGUUGCAAAAUAAGAACCUUUACCUCAUAGAUGGAACAGACUUCUAAGCUUAUUACAGUGUUUUUCAAUCGCUAACAAGCGUUUGUCCAAACAGUUGUCACAUUUUCAAAACUCUAAACACAAUUAACACAGCAUCAGUGUUUUGUGGCCAUACCAUUCACACAUUUCAUGUCGUUUUUACACAAUAUUCAGUCAGUGAACACAUGUCCACAAUGCUUACAUUUUUCUUAACAGACAAGCCAUACUUCCCAACAAAACGAUGGAUUGUUUUAGUAGUAUUUACAAAUGUUAAAACACAAUCCAAUACAGAUACAGUAUAAAAACCUUUGCUUCUGCGAUGAUAUCAGUUCAAAAACAAUAUAUCUCAGCUGAUAAUGAACAAACUAUUGAAUAAUUGACACACAGCUGAUUUAUGUUGGGUAAAUUGGGCCAACAACAGCUGAUUCCAGUCUGGCUUAUUUAAGGAGGACUUUGAGGAGUGAUAUUUUUGGAAAUAGAAACAGAAAAAGACAAACACUGUAAUGUCUGGACGAGGAAGAGGAAGAGGAAGAGCAAGGGGCCCAGGGAGAAGACCAGGUCCAGUGAGAGGUGCAGGUGAAGAAGGAGGUGCAGGUGCAGGAAGAGGAGCAGUGAGAGGAAGAGUAAGAGGUGCAGGUCCAGUGAGAGAUGUAGAAGGAGGUGCAGUGAGAGGUGCAGGUGCAGGAAGAGGAGCAGGUGCAGGAAGAGGAGUUCUUUUCUGCAUGGAGGUGGAAGGUUUAUGACCAUCAGCCACAUGACCAGAUGUCCUUCCUUGAAGCCAUGGAUGCUGGCUGCAGGGACAUCACAGUUCAAGAUUGCCAAGGGUGGAUCCGACAUACCAAGCGGUUUUAUCCCAGGUGCAUCGCCUUAGAUGAUGUCAGAUGUGAUGUUGACAAAAACAUGUGGCCAAACCCUGAAGAUCGCAGGGAUUAGAUGCAUACAUUGUUUGCCAUUUUUAGUUCCCCCCCAUUUUCAUCUGGGCUUUUGGCUGUUUUUUUCAGAAUGCUUGUGUGUUUCAUGGAUAUUUUGUUAAAAUAAAAUAAACCCUUUCUGUUCUAUUAUACUGUUUCUACUGUACCUUCUUUGGUAAACAGUUAAGAAAAAAUAACUGUUUUACUUUUUACUGGAAUGCGUUUGAAUGUGAACAUUACUGUACAUGUGCGCAUACGGUUCCAAACCAAUAAAUUUAGUGUAAAUGGUGGAUUGCAUGUUAACUGAAACAUAAAAGUCUAUGCAAUUUUUAUAAUGUCAACAAUAGCCAGAAUUUUGAAACCUGGUGUACUUCGUUUGACUGCAUGUACCUUGUGAAGUGAAAACAAAUGUUAUUCUUUGACAGAAUAAUUUCAUUUUGAGUCAGAUUUCCAGUGUUUUGGUAAAGUUAGUGUGUGCAGAGAAAGAUGUGUUCUGUUUUGAAAUUAAGAGUUAGUAUAUAUUGAACAAAAUUGGUUUUUGAGAAGAAAAUUAUCAAUUUGUGUCUUGUAGGUGUGAGUCUGUGUCAAGAGUUUAGAAAAAAAUUCUGAAGUAUGGGUAAGUGCUUGUUAGCGAUUGAAAAAAACUGUAAUAAAACACUUCCUGGGGCAUUGACUAAUCAUUGUCAUUCAGUCCCUUGAUUUGGCGAUGGAUCGUCUGUCAGUCUGAGACACUGAUCUCAUGAUCGGCUGAUUGAUUGGUUGGUUUAUUGACUUGUGGGCCAAUGUGACACAGGCAUAAAGCUGUUGGGAUUGUAGUGGGUGUUGAUGUGUGAUUCUCACUUCAAAAUAACCAGACAUACACACACAGACAGACACACGCGCUUAGAUUAAACAAGAUAUGUAUCCUUGUUCGCUAAAAUCAAGUGUCCUCAGACUUCAAUGUAUCUUUUUAUACUUCAAAGG
ensembl:lncRNA